rnacentral:rRNA from 1 species
AGAGCGAACGCUGGCGGCAGGCUUAACACAUGCAAGUCGAGCGGGCGUAGCAAUACGUCAGCGGCGGACGGGUGAGUAACGCGUGGGAACGUACCUUUUGGUUCGGAACAACACAGGGAAACUUGUGCUAAAUACCGGAUAAGCCCUUACGGGGGAAGAUUUAUCGCCGAAAGAUCGGCCCGCGUCUGAUUAGCUAGUUGGUGAGGUAACGGCUCACCAAGGCGACGAUCAGUAGCUGGUCUGAGAGGAUGAUCAGCCACAUUGGGACUGAGACACGGCCCAAACUCCUACGGGAGGCAGCAGUGGGGAAUAUGGACAAUGGGCGCAAGCCUGAUCCAGCCAUGCCGCGUGAGUGAUGAAGGCCCUAGGGUUGUAAAGCUCUUUGUGCGGGAAGAUAAUGACGGUACCGCAAGAAUAAGCCCGGCUAACUUCGCGCCAGCAGCCGC